rnacentral:rRNA from 1 species
GAUGAACGCUGGCGGCGUGCCUAAUACAUGCAAGUCGAGCGAACAGACGAGGAGCUUGCUCCUCUGACGUUAGCGGCGGACGGGUGAGUAACACGUGGAUAACCUACCUAUAAGACUGGGAUAACUUCGGGAAACCGGAGCUAAUACCGGAUAAUAUAUUGAACCGCAUGGUUCAAUAGUGAAAGACGGUUUUGCUGUCACUUAUAUAUGGAUCCGCGCCGCAUUAGCUAGUUGGUAAGGUAACGGCUUACCAAGGCAACGAUGCGUAGCCGACCUGAGAGGGUGAUCGGCCACACUGGAACUGAGACACGGUCCAGACUCCUACGGGAGGCAGCAGUAGGGAAUCUUCCGCAAUGGGCGAAAGCCUGACGGAGCAACGCCGCGUGAGUGAUGAAGGUCUUCGGAUCGUAAAACUCUGUUAUUAGGGAAGAACAAAUGUGUAAGUAACUAUGCACGUCUUGACGGUACCUAAUCAGAAAGCCACGGCUAACUACGUG